rnacentral:rRNA from 1 species
UGGCGGGCGGGUGAGUAAUGUCUGGGAAACUGCCCGAUGGAGGGGGAUAACUACUGGAAACGGUAGCUAAUACCGCAUAACGUCGCAAGACCAAAGAGGGGGACCUUCGGGCCUCUUGCCAUCGGAUGUGCCCAGAUGGGAUUAGCUAGUAGGUGGGGUAACGGCUCACCUAGGCGACGAUCCCUAGCUGGUCUGAGAGGAUGACCAGCCACACUGGAACUGAGACACGGUCCAG